GGGGAUAUAGCUCAAGUGGUAGAGCGCAUGCUUAGCAUGCACAAGGUCCUGAGUUCAAUUCCCAGUACCUCCU
rnacentral:tRNA from 1 species